UACGUAGGGGGCGAGCGUUGUCCGGAAUCAUUGGGCGUAAAGCGCGUGUAGGCGGCCCGGUAAGUCCGCUGUGAAAGUCCAGGGCUCAACCCUGGGAUGCCGGUGGAUACUGUCGGGCUCGAGUCCGGAAGAGGCGAGUGGAAUUCCUGGUGUAGCGGUGGAAUGCGCAGAUAUCAGGAGGAACACCAAUAGCGAAGGCAGCUCGCUG
rnacentral:rRNA from 1 species